rnacentral:rRNA from 1 species
CCUACGGGAGGCAGCAGUGGGGAAUAUUGGGCAAUGGGCGCAAGCCUGACCCAGCAACGCCGCGUGAAGGAAGAAGGCUUUCGGGUUGUAAACUUCUUUUCUCAGGGACGAAGCAAGUGACGGUACCUGAGGAAUAAGCCACGGCUAACUACGUGCCAGCAGCCGCGGUAAUACGGAGGAUGCGAGCGUUAUCCGGAUUUAUUGGGUUUAAAGGGUGCGUAGGCGGAAUGCCAAGUCAGUGGUAAAAUCGCGGGGCUCAACCUCGCCCCGCCGUUGAAACUGGCGGUCUUGAGUGGGCGAGAAGUAUGCGGAAUGCGUGGUGUAGCGGUGAAAUGCAGAGAUAUCGCGCAGAACUCCGAUUGCGAAGGCAGCAUGCCGGCGCCCAACUGACGCUGAAGCACGAAAGCGUGGGUAUCGAACAGGAUUAGAUACCCGAGUAGUC